rnacentral:rRNA from 1 species
AUUGAACGCUGGCGGCAGGCCUAACACAUGCAAGUCGAACGAGUGGCGGACGGGUGAGUACUGUCUGGGAAACAGCCUGAUGGAGGGGGAUAAAUACUGGAAACUGUAGCUAAUACCGCAUACCAUCAGAUGUGCCCCGAUGGGAUUAGCUAGUUGGUGGGGUAACGGCGCCCCAAGGCGACGAUCCCUAGAUGGUCUGAGAGGAUGACCAGCCACACUGGAACUGAGACACGUUCCAGACUCCUACGGGAGGCAGCAGUGGGGAAUAUUGCACAAUGGGCUCAAGCCUGAUGCAGCCAUGCCGCGUGUAUGAAGAAGGCCUUCGGGGUGUAAAGUACUUUCAGCGGGGAGGCGUUACCCGCAGAAGAAGCACCGGCUAACUCCGUGCCAGCAGCCGCGGUAAUUC